AACGCGAAGAACCUUACCUGGGUUUGACAUCCUUUGAAAUUAGUAGAGAUAUUAAUGGCUCGCAAGAGACAAAGAGACAGGUGCUGCAUGGCUGUCGUCAGCUCGUGUUGUGAAAUGUUGGGUUAAGUCCCGCAACGAGCGCAACCCUUGUCUUUGGUUGCCAUCAUUAAGUUGGGCACUCCAGAGAGACUGCCGUCGUCAAGACGGAGGAAGGUGGGGAUGACGUCAAGUCCUCAUGGCCUUUAUAUCCAGGGCGACACACGUGAUACAAUGGUAGGUACAAAGGGCAGCCAAGUGGCAACACGGAGCAAAAUCCCAAAAAACCUAUCUCAGUUCGGAUUGGAGUCUGCAACUCGACUCCAUGAAGUUGGAAUCGCUAGUAAUCGCGGAUCAGCACGCCGCGGUGAAUACGUUCCCGGGCCUUGUACACACCGCACGA
rnacentral:rRNA from 1 species